ensembl:snRNA U6 U6 spliceosomal RNA
GUGCUCGCUUCUGUAGCACAUAUUCUAAAAUUGGAAUGAUACAGAGAAGGUUAGAAUGGCCCCUGCACAAGGAUGACAUGCAGAUUCAUGAAGUGUUCCAUAUUUUU